AUUGAACGCUGGCGGCAGGCCUAACACAUGCAAGUCGAACGAGUGGCGGACGGGUGAGUAAUGUCUGGGAAACUGCCUGAUGGAGGGGGAUAACUACUGGAAACGGUAGCUAAUACCGCAUACCAUCAGAUGUGCCCAGAUGGGAUUAGCUUGUUGGUGGGGUAAUGGCUCACCAAGGCGACGAUCCCUAGCUGGUCUGAGAGGAUGACCAGCCAAACUGGAACUGAGACACGGUGCAGACUCCUAGGGAGGGCAGAAGUGGGGAAUAUUGGACAGUGGGCGAAAGCGUGAUGCAGCCAUGCCGCGUGGAUGAAGAAGGCCUUCGGGUUGUAAAGUACGUUCAGCGGGGAGGCGUUACCCGCAGAAGAAGCACCGGCUAACUCCGUGCCAGCCGCCGCGGUAAUAC
rnacentral:rRNA from 1 species